rnacentral:rRNA from 1 species
UACGUAGGGCGCAAGCGUUGUCCGGAAUCAUUGGGCGUAAAGAGCUCGUAGGCGGCCUGUUGCGUCCGCUGUGAAAUCCCGGGGCUUAACCCCGGGCGUGCAGUGGAUACGGGCUGGCUGGAGGCAGGCAGGGGAGAACGGAAUUCCCGGUGUAGCGGUGAAAUGCGCAGAUAUCAGGAGGAACACCAAUGGCGAAGGCAGAUCUCUGGGCCGUAACUGACGCUGAGGAGCGAAAGCAUGGGGAGCGAACAGG